AGCUUUUCAUUCAUCUGUAAAGAAAAAUGAGACUUAGUCUCUGUGUUUGUGUACAAGUCAGAAGCUUCCGGAAGUAUAUACAAAAAUAUCUACACUAUUAUUUUCUAUAUAGUGUAUUAGGCCAGAAUUAAAUAAGUUUACAUAUGGGCUACUUGGGCUGCUGUGUUGCUGUAUCUGCUGCUUCAGUGAAUUGGGCUGCAGACGUGGCCCAAUAACUCCAACACCCCCCUGCAAGUUGGAGGGUGACUGAACCCCCAACUUGAGCUUGCUGGAAUGAUGCAAAAUACCAGUAAGAGGCUUGGUAAAUGUAUCCGCGAGCUGAGAAGUAGUAGAGACAUGGUGCAAAGUAAUAAGGCCUUCAUGAAGCUUGCCUCUGAUGAAAUGACAACCCACCUCAAUAUGUUUGGUCCGCUCAUGGAAGACAGGAUUCUUUGCAAUGUGAAGUGCUGCUUGAUUAUCACAAAACACAGGGACAGGAGAGGUAACAGGGACUCCAAAAUCAGACAGCAAACGAAUGAGCCAGGUGAGCUCACCAACAACCUUGCUGAUGGCCCUAUAUUCAGCCUCAGCAGAAGACAAAGAUACCACAGGCUGCUUUUUAGCCUUCCAACCAAUAAGAGAAUCACCUAACAUUAUACAAAAACCAGAGAUAGACCUUCUGGUGCCUGGGCAGGAUACCCAGUCACUAUCACAAUAAGCAGAUAAGGAGAGGUCUUCUGUGUUGCUGAGAAAAAUGCCAAGGUCAUAGGUACCUCUAAGAUAUCUCAAUGUGUGUAAGGCUGCAUGCAUAUGAGAGGAGGUAGGCUUGAGAAAAAUGCCAAGGUCAGAGGUACCUCUAAGAUAUCUCAAUGUGUGUAAGGCUGCAUGCAUAUGAGAGGAGGUAGGCUUCUGAAUAUAUUGACUUAAGUGCUGGAUAGCAAAUGCUAAGUCAGGCCUAGUGUGGGUGAGGAAAUUGAGCUUCCCCGCUAAGCAUCUAUAGACUUCAGGAGAAGAAAGAGGAUCCCCUAAAUCUAGUUUCGGCUUAACAGAGAGAUCAAGAGGGCAAGUAACAAGGGAGACAUCCUCACUGUUAUAGGCUUUGAGAAGUUCAGUGACAAAUUUCUUCUGGUGGAGAAGGAGCCCAGCAGAAUGAUAACUGACCUCAAUACCAAGGAAGUAGUUGAGCACCCCCAAAUCCUUGAUUUUAAACUCAUGAUCUAGAAAAGUCUUCAAAGCAGUGAUUUCCUCCAAAUCAUUACCAGUAAGAAUGAUGUCAUUAACAUACACAACUAACAAGACAAUAGAAGAGCCAGAUUUCUUAAGAAAAAGAGAGUAGUCAUUGAGAGAAGAAGAAAACCCUUUAGAACAUAAAGCCUGGGAGAGCUUGGCAUACCA
rnacentral:lncRNA from 1 species